CCACACCUUUAAUGCCAGAAGACCUUGAACUCAGAGAUCUCCCCUUGUCUUAAUCUUCUGAAAUUCACAGCCAUUAUGCCUCAAGAUUUCCAUGCCAAGAUCCAGAUAUAGUCAAGUUGACAACCAGGACUAGCCACUACAAUUCCUCACCCGCCUCCUCUGGUCGCCCUCACAGACACCAGGAAGGACCACUUCAGCAUUUCUCAAGACUUCCACCUUUAAGAUUCCCAAGAGGGAAGAGAGCAGAUGUGAAACAGAGCUGGAAGAUGGAGUUUUUGAAAGCUAUGUUCCAGCUCCCAGAGCUGAAUCCCAGGAGGAUGCUGGGCAGCCUCACUAUGGCCUGAUAGCUAUGAUUCUGGGAGUUAUCCAGAAACUGCCAUGACCAGCAAAUCUCUUUCUAAACCAAGAAAUUUCACUGGCAAAAAUCCUGACAAGA